rnacentral:misc_RNA from 1 species
AAAGUCGUAACAAGGUUUCCGUAGGUGAACCUGCGGAAGGAUCAUUACAGAGUUCAUGCCCUCACGGGUAGAUCUCCCACCCUUGAAUACUAUACCUUUGUUGCUUUGGCGGGCCGCUUCGGCUACUGGCUCCAGCUAGUGAGUGCCCGCCAAAGGAUCCCAAAACUCUGAACAUUUGUGUCGUCUGAGUACUAUGUAAUAGUUAAAACUUUCAACAACGGAUCUCUUGGUUCUG